AGUGAACGCUGGCGGUAGGCCUAACACAUGCAAGUCGAACGGCAGCACAGGAGAGCUUGCUCUCUGGGUGGCGAGUGGCGGACGGGUGAGGAAUACAUCGGGAUCUACUCUGUCGUGGGGGAUAACGUAGGGAAACUUACGCUAAUACCGCAUUCGACCUACGGGUGAAAGCAGGGGACCUUCGGGCCUUGCGCGAUUGAAUGAGCCGAUGUCGGAUUAGCUAGUUGGCGGGGUAAAGGCCCACCAAGGCGACGAUCCGUAGCUGGUCUGAGAGGAUGAUCAGCCACACUGGAACUGCGACACGGUCCAGACUCCUACGGGAGGCAGCAGUGGGGAAUAUUGGACAAUGGGCGCAAGCCUGAUCCAGCCAUACCGCGUGGGUGAAGAAGGCCUUCGGGUUGUAAAGCCCUUUUGUUGGGAAAGAAAUCCAGCUGGCUAAUACCCGGUUGGGACGACGGUACCCAAAGAAUAAGCACCGGCUAACUUCGUGCCAGCAGCCGCCGUAA
rnacentral:rRNA from 1 species